ACCUUUAAAUUCCCUUCCAGCCCCAGCCAUUCUGGCAUUCUGUGAUUCCUUUUAGCUGCCAAGAUGGGUUGCAGAGAUUUUUAAUUCCAGCAAUUCAAGCAGCUGUUUCUGUUGCAACUCUUCCUCCCUGUGAAAGAAGGCUAUGGGCCCAGCCUCAAGGAAUUUCUGCUCUGCAGCAGUGCCAUUUUCUGGAGAAAAUAACUUAACAGCUCGGGGGCCUUGCUUCAUUCCUGCAGUCAACAGAUUUAAACAUUUUGCUGCGAGCCUUCAAAUCCCUGCGUUUUUUUCAAUGUAGGAAAAGUCAUUCCAAAUCUACCUGUGCUUUCUGUCUCCAAAACCAACACUCCCUACAGAGCAGCACAGGCAGAGAUACCUGUAUUGCAGGUUUCUGGGACUCGUAUUUUAGGUUUUCCUGUCCUGCUCUUAUGACAAACACUUGCACGGGGAGUGAAGGCGAUGCCACUGCUUGCAUUGCAUCCAACUGUGCAAGUUCCAACCUGCUGCUUGGCUCUGGCUGCUCCAGACAAGAGCCCUGCAGUUGCAAACAGUCCCUCACAGGCUGGAUGGGUGCAGAGGAACAGGAGUUGGUACAUGUUGGCUGGUGGAAUUAGCCCUGCUGCUCCUGAGCUAUUAUGCAGCUUUAUCACUGGUUAUGUUGUAACCCUGCUUGAUCUUUUACCCGCCCAGGCACUGCGGGCAUUUUUAAUUAGCUGCGGGUUCAUUUGCAUAGGAGCUUUUGCUGAAACAAUAAAUUCAUACCUCUGUUAUUAUCUGGUAUGAGUUUCUGUAUCAAUAUUUAUAUUUGGGUAAAACCAAAGAAGCUUCCUGCUACCAUGAAGACAAAAGAAUUGCUUCAGAGCAGGUUCAGGAGUCAGCCAGCACUAAGAACACCUUCCACUUCUUUGCAGGGAAAGGGAAAUUGCAGUGUGUGGUGGGACAACACAUGUUCCAAUGCCUCCUUUUUAUGCAGGGAUGAGGAGACAGAAACAUCUUGUCUGAUGAAAAGCACGUUUUGCAAGGCUUGACAAAUCCAAUGUUCACCUCGAGCCAAUGUGGUCUGUGUGAUUUUAAUGCUGGUGAGAUUGUUUCUGCAACUCCUGCGGUAAAACUCCAGCCCAACAGCUCACCGUGUGUUCAUCUUCGUCAGGAAUUUGGUAUUUGCUUCAGUUUAGCUCUGUCACCCCUCCAGCAUCAGGUGGAGAAUAAAAAAGCAGGACACGACGGCACAGGAGGAUCUUGCAGGGCAGCGGGAAGCAGGAUGGAAACUGAGGAAGCACAACUGUUCUUGUCCUGGCAGCACUGCUGUGACCUCAGAAACAGGUUCCUUCCCUUGGGCAUGGGAUCAGCCUCUUCCACCCCACCACUGCCAUCCCUGUGCCAGUUAUGAGACAGAUGUUACAGAAUCAAGAGCGAUCCGUGUUCUCAGUCAUUGUUUCCUAAAUAGUGCCAUUAGAAUGCUAAAUUGCAACAGUAAAACAGUGUCAAUAGGAAGUUAUGAAGUUCCCAUUUUAUGAUGCAUUCAUAAAGUUAACUCAAUCUGCUCAAAAUGUGGCUGUGAUUUCCACACAGUGACCUAUUUGUUAUGACAGAAGAGAUUCUGAUAAGAAAACAGUUGAGCAUUAAGUGUGCUGGGACUCUGCUUUUACCCAAGUAAAACACAGCAUAUUCCCUGUUGGAAUGUAUGUGCAUAUCAGAAUUUAUUAAACUAGUGCUUGUUUGAUCACUUUUGGUUUCACUGAGUGCUGUGAAUUCCAAGGAUUUCAUGCCUUUGAAUACAAUGCAUUUAUUCCUGGGGGGGGAAAAAAAAAAGAAAAAGCUCCAAGCAGUGCUAUCAUUUAGAUGUUACUAUUGUCAUUCCACAGAAGGAUAAGAGAGAACCAAAUCAAUCAGAAGAAAUGGCUGCUUUUAGUUUUAUCUCCAGAUCUGGCAGCAAGUCAUAAUCUAGCAGUUGUACAACAAUUUCCAUUCUGAGUCCCUUUUUCAGUCAACUGUAACUGUCCUGAACUUUAACAUUAUGAGUUGUCUGUUUCAGGCUGAGUUGUUUGGGUGGAAUCAGUAUUACUGUCAAUCUGAGAAAGAGUCAUGAAACUGCCUUUCAAGUACUGUAACAGAAAUUGUCUCUCUUCCUUCUCUCUAAUAAAGAUUUUUAGGGAAAAAGUAACAUUGGAAA